GCUGCUGCUAUUGCUACUGCUACUCACUCUCUCUCUCUCUCCCUCUCUUUCUCCCGCCUCUGUUUUGCACUCAUUCACUCACUCCCUCCCUCACUCACGCACAGGAGCUUGCUGUGCUGCACCACGCUCUGUUAUUCUUUCUCUCUUUCUUUUUUUCUUUCUCUCUCUCUCUCUCUCUCUCUCUCUCUCUCUUUCUCUGUGCGUCUGUCUGCCCAAGAAUGGUCCAGUCGGUGCCUGGGGCUCUGCUGUCGCGGCCUGCCACCCUCCUCUGAGUCACAUACACACACAGACACACACAUACUUACACAAACACGCACUCACAGACACACACACACAGACCUAGGCAGACACACGUACACACAAAGUCACAGGCAAUUCUUGGCAUUCAACUAUAUGAGAGCAGCUCCUGGGGACCUUGCAGGCUGAGGAGUCCCGGGUGCGCAGCGAGAGAGCGUGGCUGACAGCAGAGCCCUCUGACAUUUUUAGAAACAUGAUG
ensembl:lncRNA